AUGCUUCUUAUCACUUCCCAACCUUUUACUGUUCUGCCUUAUUAUUAUUGGACCAUGCUGGUCAUUUAUGAACAUUUGAACAUCUUGGCCAUGUUCUGUUAUAAUCUCCACCCGGCACAGCCAGAAGAGGACUGGCCACCCCACAUAGCCUGGUUCCUCUCUAGGUUUCUUCCUAGGUUUUGGCCUUUCAGGGACCUUUUUCUCCCUAGCACACUGUGCUUUUGUUUUUCUUGUUUGUGGUUGGUUGUUUGUUUAUUUGUUGGUUUGUUGGUUUUUUUGUUGUGUUGUUUUUUUUUGGGUGUUUGUGUUUUUGUUUUUUUUUUUUUUUGUUUUUUUUUUUGUUUUUUUGGUGGUGGUUUGUUUUUUUUUUUUUGGUGUUUUUUUUGGUUUUUUUUUUUUUUGGUUUUUGGGUUUUUGAUUGUUUUUUGUUUUUUGUUGUUUUUUUGUUUUUGUUGUUUUGUUGGGUUUUUGUUUUGUGUUUUUUGUUUUUUUUGUGGGGGGUGUUUUUUUGUGUUUUGUUGUGGGUGGUUUUUUUUUGUUGUUUGUUAUUUUUUUUUGGUGGUUGUUAUGUUAUUUGUUUUUUGUGUUUUUUUGUUUUGUUGUUUUGUGUUUGUUGUGGUUGGUGUUUUUUUAUUUUUUUUGUUUGUUUUUUUUUUUUUUUGUAUGUUGUUUUUGUAUGGGUUUUUGUUUGGUUUUUGUUUUGGUUUUUUAGUUUGUUUUGUUUUGUUUUUUGUUUUGUGUUUGUGGUUUGUUUUUUUUUUUUUUUUUUUUUGUUUUGGUUUUUUUUUUUGUUUUUUUUUUCUUUGCUUUAUUUUCUUUGUUUUGGGGUUUGUUUUAUUUUGUUUGUUUUCUGGUUUUGUUUUUUUGUUUGUUUGGUGGUUGUGUUGUUUUUGGGGUGUGUGUUUGUGUGGUUGUUUUUUUUUUGUUAUUUUUGUUUUUGUUUUUUUUUGUUUUUUUUUAUUUGUUUUGUUUUUUUUUUUGUUGUUUUGUUGUGUUGUUUGGUUUUUUGUUUUUUUGUGUUGUGGGUUGGUUUGUUGUAUUUGUUUUUUUGUUGUUGUUUGUUUUUUUUUUUUUGUGGGUUUGGGUUGGUUUUUGUGGUUUUUUUUGUUGCUUUUUUCUUUUUGUUUGUUUAUUUGUUUGGGUGUUGUGUUUGUGUGUUUGUUUUUUUUUUUUUUGGUGUUUUUUGGUUUGGGUUGUGUUUUUGUGGUGUUUUUUGUUUUUUGUUUUGUGUUUUUUUUUGUGUUUUUUUUUUGGUUUUUUGUU
rnacentral:lncRNA from 1 species